UACGGAGGAUGCAAGCGUUAUCCGGAAUGAUUGGGCGUAAAGCGUCCGCAGGUGGCAGUUCAAGUCUGCUGUCAAAGACCGGGGCUUAACUUCGGAAAGGCAGUGGAAGCUGAACAGCUAGAGUAUGGUAGGGGCAGAGGGAAUUCCUGGUGUAGCGGUGAAAUGCGUAGAGAUCAGGAAGAACAUCGGUGGCGAAGGCGCUCUGCUGGACCAUAACUGACACUCAGGGACGAAAGCUAGGGGAGCGAAUGGG
rnacentral:rRNA from 1 species